rnacentral:rRNA from 3 species
CGAAAGUUAGAGGUUCGAAGGCGAUCAGAUACCGCCCUAGUUCUAACCAUAAACGAUGCCAACCAGCGAUCCGCCUGAGUUCCUCAAAUGACUCGGCGGGCAGCUUCCGGGAAACCAAAGUGUUUGGGUUCCGGGGGAAGUAUGGUUGCAAAGCUGAAACUUAAAGGAAUUGACGGAAGGGCACCACCAGGAGUGGAGCCUGCGGCUUAAUUUGACUCAACACGGGAAAACUUACCCGGCCCGGACACUGGAAGGAUUGACAGAUUAAGAGCUCUUUCUUGAUUCAGUGGGUGGUGGUGCAUGGCCGUUCUUAGUUGGUGGAGCGAUUUGUCUGGUUAAUUCCGAUAACGAACGAGACUCUAGCCUACUAAAUAGGCGUUCCGAUCCUUUAUGUCGGACGUUCUUCUUAGAGGGACAAGCGGCUUUUAGCCGCACGAGACAGAGCAAUAACAGGUCUGUGAUGCCCUUAGAUGUCCGGGGCCGCACGCGCGCUACACUGAAGGAAUCAGCGUGUGCUUUCCCUGUCUGGUAGGACUGGGUAACCCGUUAAACCUCCUUCGUGAUAGGGAUAGGGGCUUGUAAUUGUUCCCCUUGAACGAGGAAUUCCCAGUAAGCACGAGUCAUAAGCUCGUGUUGAUUACGUCCCUGCCCUUUGUACACACCGCCCGUCGCUACUACCGAUUGAAUGAUUUAGUGAGGUCUUCGGACUGGCGCUCGUAGCGGCCUUUGGCCGCGCCGACGUGCCGGAAAGAUGACCAAACUUGAUCAUUUAGAGGAAGUAAAAGUC